rnacentral:rRNA from 1 species
CCCCAGACUCCUACGGGAGGCAGCAGUGGGGGAUAUUGCACAAUGGGGGAAACCCUGAUGCAGCGACGCCGCGUGGGCGAAGAAGUAUUUCGGUAUGUAAAGCCCUAUCAGCAGGGAAGAAGAAAUGACGGUACCUGAGUAAGAAGCACCGGCUAAAUACGUGCCAGCAGCCGCGGUAAUACGUAUGGUGCAAGCGUUAUCCGGAUUUACUGGGUGUAAAGGGAGCGCAGACGGCAGCGCAAGCCAGGAGUGAAAGCCCGGGGCCCAACCCCGGGACUGCUCUCGGAACUGCGCGGCUGGAGUGCAGGAGGGGCAGGCGGAAUUCCUGGUGUAGCGGUGAAAUGCGUAGAUAUCAGGAGGAACACCGGUGGCGAAGGCGGCCUGCUGGACUGCGACUGACGUUGAGGCCCGAAAGCGUGGGGAGCAAACAGGAUUAGAUACCCCGGUAGA